rnacentral:tRNA from 1 species
GGGCCGUUAGCUCAGUGGUAGAGCAGCUGACUCUUAAUCAGCGGGUCCGGGGUUCAAGUCCCCGACGGCCCU